UACGUAGGGUGCGAGCGUUAAUCGGAAUUACUGGGCGUAAAGCGUGCGCAGGCGGUUCGUUGUGUCCGUCGUGAAAGCCCCCGGGCUUAACCCUGGGAACUGCGAUGGAAACUGGCGGGCUGGAGUAUGGCAGAGGGUGGAAUUUCCGCGCGUAGCAGUGAAAUGCGUAGAGAUGCGGAGGAACACCGAUGGCGAAGGCAGCCCUGGGCCAAUACUGACGCUCAGGCACGAAAGCGUGGGAGCAAACAGG
rnacentral:rRNA from 1 species